rnacentral:rRNA from 1 species
UGGGGAAUUUUGGACAAUGGGCGAAAGCCUGAUCCAGCAAUGCCGCGUGUGUGAAGAAGGCCUUCGGGUUGUAAAGCACUUUUGUCCGGAAAGAAAUCCUUGGCUCUAAUACAGUCGGGGGAUGACGGUACCGGAAGAAUAAGCACCGGCUAACUACGUGCCAGCAGCCGCGGUAAUACGUAGGGUGCAAGCGUUAAUCGGAAUUACUGGGCGUAAAGCGUGCGCAGGCGGUUUGCUAAGACCGAUGUGAAAUCCCCGGGCUCAACCUGGGAACUGCAUUGGUGACUGGCAGGCUAGAGUAUGGCAGAGGGGGGUAGAAUUCCACGUGUAGCAGUGAAAUGCGUAGAGAUGUGGAGGAAUACCGAUGGCGAAGGCAGCCCCCCUGGGCCAAUACUGACGCUCAUGCACGAAAGCGUGGGGAGCAAACAGGAUUAGAUACCCUGGUAGUCCACGCCCUAAACGAUGUCAACUAGUUGUUGGGGAUUCAUUUUCCUUAGUGACGUAGCUAACGCGUGAAGUUGACCGCCUGGGGAGUACGGUCGCAAGAUUAAAACUCAAAUGAAUUGAC